CAGGAAAAAGCUUUCAUUUACAUUGAAUAUUUUCUAUUUAUUUAGUUUCCUGA
rnacentral:tRNA from 1 species